CGUUCACUUGCGUACCUGACGGGUACUUAAGCACUGCUACCGCCGCCGUCUAGGUUUCUUCGAUCGUGGUUGCGCCAUCCCUCACUCUCCUCCGAAGCCAUCGUCCACGUCCCAGCCUCCCCGGACUCUAGGGGCAGAAGCUGCAGCGUCGAGAUGGUGAAGGGGCGCACGGGGCAGCGCGUGAGGCUCUACGUCCGGGGCACCGUCCUUGGAUACAAGCGGUCCAAGUCGAACCAGUACGAGACUACGUCGCUGGUGCAGAUCGAGGGGGUGAACACCAAGGAGGACGUCGCGUGGUACUGCGGGAAGCGGAUGGCCUACAUCUACAAGGCCAAGACCAAGAGCAGCGGCACCCACUACCGCUGCAUCUGGGGCAAGGUCGCCCGCCCGCAUGGCAACUCCGGCGUCGUCCGCGCCAAGUUCAGGUCCAACCUGCCGCCGGAAUCCAUGGUGAGCUGGACCGAUCUCCCAGUUUCCGUUCGUGGCUACGUCUUGCUCUGAAUUCUGUGCUCUGUGCUGAUUUUGUUGCUGCCCCCUUUGGUGCAGGGCCGUAAGGUCAGGGUGUUCAUGUACCCCAGCAGCAUCUAAAGAUAAUCUGAAUGUGUGGAGGACCCUUUUCUUCUAGAUUUUAUCUUCAGCUGUCCUUGUAAGGGUUGUGUUCAGGUUGAGAGUUAGCAGGUUGAGCUGUCUAUCUGAGAACCAUUUAAAGUUCUCUGAGUUUUGGUGUUAUGGAUCACUGGAAGUAUUAUAUGAAGUUUAAGUUAGAACUAAUUUGUUUGCCAUACUUUUGUAUGAUGACUCUUUAAUCGCAUAAUAUGCUCUUAUUGCAUCUUGAUCAA